GGGGAGUUUCCGGCAAGAGGGGGGAUGUGGUCCCUUCUUCGACUCAUAGUGGGUCCUGGGAUGUCCCUGCUGAUCUCAGUCAACUGGCCUCACUCCUUGCCUCUCACUUCUCUCAGUAAACCAAGCAGGAAGAAUUUGGGAGCCCGAGCCUGACAGCCUUCCUGGAGCUGCUGAGGCAGACAGUGAGGGCACUCUGGGGCUCCUUGUGUGCUGAGUGAUUCUCUGUGUUCUCUGUCCCUGCCUUCCUCCGACUGUAAUGCUGUAUUACUUCCCGUUUGCUGACCUGAGGGCCAGACCUCACCUGGAAGAUGUCAGAUCCACAGACGCUGGGUGAGAAGUGCACCGGCAUCUCAUCUGGACGAUUCUGCCUAAGGCUUCCUGGAAAUGGCUGCUGCAGCAUGGGCUCGUGGGCCCCACAGGAACUCGUAACGUGGAGGAUCGCUGUUGGCAACCUGGCGGUACUCCAGGUACUUCAUCGUCACAAAGUCUUUGGUGAUGAGCUUCCUGGGCUCUCAGUAGAUGAAGUGUUUUCUCCCAGCAUAUACUCGCAUCAUAUUCAAGAGUUUCCAGAUAUCUUCCUCAGCGGCACAGUUGCCCUUCACGAAGAUCACACCCAGAACUGUCAUCAGGAGACCGGUCUUAGGUAAGCUCCUACCAUCCCACACUCUCCCAUUGUUGGGCAGGUUCAGUUUGCUGACAAGGUCAUAGGAGUGGAUGGUUGAAUCAACUUCCUUCAAGUCAACUGCAAAAACAGCCUCGAUGUGUUCAGAGGCUCUCUUGAGAAUCUCGGCAAAUCGGUUAUGGUAUCUUGGGUGGAUAAUCUUCAGCAUGUUUUCCUUCAUGAUGGGCUGCUUCAUUUUAUAUUUAUGCAGAAGAACUGUUCCAACAAACUUGUCAUGCUGUUCAGAGUAUCACUGUAGGUGUUCUCGGUAGAAGAUGAGACAUCGGAGGAACCUGAAUCUUCCUCAUCUUGACUGGUAUCUUCUUCAUCAGAUUUUGUGUCAGAAGUAGUUGAAAGAAAAAGUGCUGGUAGUAGAUGGGGCUUCCGAAGACCCCUGGGAAGUGCUAUUUGACCCAGUAGCUGAUGAGCUCUGUGAAUUAUCUUCUAAAAGAGAAGAGGUAGAGGGAAGCUCUUCCAUUACUGCAGCGGGCUGAACUCCCUUUUGACUCUGGGGCUCAUAUUGGGCCUGGUGGCAUUUCUCAUGGAUGUAGAGCUUAUGAUUCUGACCCCGAGGCAUGAUGACUGCGCUGGGGGACAAUGAUUAGAAGUGUGAGUAGGAGGGCAAGUGAUAAGGGCACACAGGAAGACGAAGGUUGAGUGUGCAGCCACAGCAGGGAAAUACCACCUUGGUUAUCAGGAAGGCUAUAUUUGUGGUUUUCUUGAGGGCACUGUUCUGAAAACCCUCAGGGUUCCUAUUCUCCUAAUCAGCUGUCCUUUGGGAAACAUAUUGAAGGAAAUUAAAGUGAUCUUUAGGCUUCAUCCUGCUACCCCUGCCUCAGGCACGCUGGGGUGACAGAAAGGGCUGGUAGCCUCCUACACAGAGGCAUCUGUUAUUUCGCAUUCAAGACCACCACCCAACUAGUGGCCAGUCAUAGGACCCAUUCCCUCUGCUGUUCUCUAGUUGGCAUCACAAAGCUCCCUGGGAUUUCUGAGAAAUGAAGAGGUCCUCAGCUUAUCACCCCAGUCAGUAGUUAUCACCCAGUACUGAGUGCUCAGGGGGAAGUGUUCUGUCCUGGCCUCUGGAGUCCUCAACAUGAAUUAAGAGUACUUCCUUUGGUUCCCCAUAGGGCCUGGUGUCCCCACCCCUUUCUUGGAAUAGUAUCUGCACCUUCAUACUAAGGGUUUCAUUUCCUACACACCUGAUAUAAAUAAAUGUUGGUGGAACUUCA
rnacentral:lncRNA from 1 species